rnacentral:lncRNA from 1 species
ACUUACUUCAUUGCCCCAGCUUAGAUCUCCAAUACAUGUUUAUUUUCUUCUUUUCCAUAGCUACUGGAUCAAGCCAAUUUUUCUGCAAAAGAUUCACUACUGUAGAAACUUCAGCCUGUAGUACCUCUCCAAUUCCCCUGCAGAUUGCUGCAGCAGCAAGUUCAGGAGUUGCAUAGCCUCUGUCAGAACUACAGUCCAGCAUUUCAGAUAUUCGAAGAGAAGUAGCUUGGCCCUCACAGUGUCUCGGGCAGUACGCUUCCUUGAGGAACGUAGAGUGACUGAAUUUCGUUCCUCACUUUCUCGACUGCUGCCUACUCUUCACGCCUUCUCUCCCCGCUGGCUGUUGCGUCUCGCAGCCCUGGCUGUGCCGGCGGGAGGCAGGGGGAGCCCGGGAGCAGCGGCGGCGGCCCGGCCCGGCGGCGGCGAGCCCGGCAGCAGGCGGGGUCCGCGCCCGCCCGCCCGCGCUGACGUCAGGAAACUUUCG